AGUGAACGCUGGCGGCAGGCCUAACACAUGCAAGUCGAACGGCAGCACGGUCUUCGGUUUCUCGGCCGGGGGGCGAGGGGCGGGCGGUGCAGCGGAACGUGGGCAGCUACUUGGUAUUGGGGGAUAAAGGCGGGAUACAUACGCCAAUACCCCUUAGGGCCAAAGCGGGGAAGCAGAAGACCUUGCGCCCUUGCGCCGGCCAAUGACGCGAUGUCGGAUUAGCUAGUUGGCGGGGUAAAGGCCCACCAAGGCGACGAUCCGUAGCUGGUCUGAGAGGAUGAUCAGCCACACUGGAACUGAGACACGGUCCAGACUCCUACGGGAGGCAGCAGUGGGGAAUAUUGGACAAUGGGCGCAAGCCUGAUCCAGCCAUGCCGCGUGCGUGAAGAAGGCCUUCGGGUUGUAAAGCGCUUUUGUUCGGGAAGAAAAGCUGUGGGUUAAUACCCCGCUGUUAUGACGGUACCGGAAGAAUAAGCACCGGCUAACUUCGUG
rnacentral:rRNA from 1 species